rnacentral:rRNA from 1 species
UACAGGAGUCAUCAGCGUUGUCGGAUUCAUUGGGCGUAAAGGGUGCGUAGGCGGCGCGGUAAGUCGGGUGUGAAAUCUCGGGGCUUAACUCCGAAACUGCAUUCGAUACUGGAUGGCUUGAGGUUGGGAGAGGGAUGCGGAAUUCCAGGUGUAGCGGUGAAAUGCGUAGAUAUCUGGAGGAACACCGGUGGCGAAGGCGGCAUCCUGGACCAAUUCUGACGCUGAGGAGCGAAAGCCAGGGGAGCAAACGGG